AGCUCCAAUAGCGUAUACUAAAGUUGUUGCGGUUAAAAAGCUCGUAGUUGGAUCUUGGAGUGUGAGUGAAUGGUCGAUCGAAAGAUUGUACUGUUCGGCACACUCUUCUCUUCGGUUGCGUGUGUAGUGCCCUUAACUGAGUGCUGCACUCGACCGGAAUUUUUACCUUGAAAAAAUUAGAGUGUUCAAAGCAGACCUGAUUAUGUCUGAAUAUUCGUGCAUGGAAUAAUAAAAUAAGAACUUGGUUCUAUUUUAUUGGUUUUCGGAACUCGAGUUAAUGAUUAAGAGGGACAGACGGGGGCAUCCGUACUCUGCCGUUAGAGGUGAAAUUCUUGGAUCGGCGGAAGACGCGCAACUGCGAAAGCAUUUGCCAAGAAUGUUUUCUUUAAUCAAGAACGAA
rnacentral:rRNA from 1 species